GACGAACGCUGGCGGCGUGCCUAACACAUGCAAGUCGAACGGAAAACAUAGCAAUAUGUUUUUAGUGGCGAACGGGUGAGUAACGCGUAGACAACCAACCUUUUUGUGGGGGACAACACUUCGAAAGGAGUGCUAAUACCGCAUAAGCUCUUGAUGCCGCCUGGUGUUAAGAGGAAAGGAGCUUUCGGGCUUCGCAAAAAGACGGGUCUGCGUCUGAUUGGCUAGUUGGAGGGGUAACGGCCCACCAAGGCGACGAUCAGUAGCCGGUCUGGGAGGAUGGACGGCCACACUGGGACUGGGACACGGCCCAGACUCCUACGGGAGGCAGCAGUGGGGAAUCUUCCGCAAUGGCCGAAAGGCUGACGGAGCGACGCCGCGUGAGUGAUGAAGGCCCUUGGGUCGUAAAGCUCUGUCAUCAGGGACGAACGGUCACGUCAGGAAAUGGGCGUGAAUUGACGGUACCUGAGAAGGAAGCCACGGCUAACUACGUGCCAGCAGCCGCCGUAAUAC
rnacentral:rRNA from 1 species